rnacentral:rRNA from 1 species
AUACGUAGGGGGCGAGCGUUGUCCGGAAUGACUGGGCGUAAAGGGCGUGUAGGCGGCGCUGUAAGUCUGGAGUGAAAGUCCCGUUUUCAAGGUGGGAACUGCUUUGGAUACUGCAGUGCUCGAGUGCGGAAGAGGUAAGUGGAAUUUCCAGUGUAGCGGUGAAAUGCGUAGAGAUUGGGAGGAACACCAGUGGCGAAGGCGACUUACUGGGCCGUAACUGACGCUGAGGCGCGAAAGCGUGGGGAGCGAACAGGAUUAGAUACCCUGGUAGUCC